CUGAGUCGUUACGGAACCAUAGCUAGAAUAAUGGCACAUAGAAUUUAAGCAAUUGGUUCUAACCCCGACGACUGUCAAAAUAAAUUAACUUGCCGGAUCACAAACAUACAAAACAACAUUAAUUUCCCGCUAUAUUCAGGAGGACUACACCGAAUGAAUAAAGUAAAUAACAUGUCACAAAUACAGUUCGAAGUGGUCCGAAACGGAAUUGCGACGGAGCUUGGUGAAACCGUAAGUCAAAACAGCAUUUGUGAACUCAUAGUGUCGCUCCGUAAGCUGAAAGAGACUUCGAAUGAGGUGCUAACGAAACUGCUCCAGGAAGAAGUAAUCAAAAAUGCACGAAAAGCGCCAGGGAAAGAUGGGACGGAUGACGAUGAUGGCAACGAGGAAGAGUGCAAUAAAAAAAUAAGGUCUUGAUAGUCGCGAUUCUACGAUUUUUAUUGCUGAUAUGUAUAUGAAUAAGUAUUGCAGAUUGUUGAUAAGAAUGUUUAAACUUAUGAAAUAAACGAGGUAUUUUUUGUUUUCCCAUA